GGAAGGCCUCGGUCUCUUGGUUCCUUUUUGGAGCUGCUGCGGGCGGCAGGGAGUUCCUUCCAGUUCUUGAUAAAGAUAAAGGGAGCACCCAUGGACUUGAGUAACUGCAGAGGAGCACCGUGGUGCACAGAUGUAUUCCCACAGUUGCCAGCUGUCAUCACGUCUUCCACCACAGGAAUGGAGCCAUAGGAGCAAGCCUCAUAGAUUCGAUAGCAUUCUGUGUUUACUCCGACCGGGCACAAUGUGAGAUCACUCUGAAGCAAGGCAUCUUGGUAAUUCUUAAGACUUUCAUUUGUUUCCUGAGGCUGCCAGCUAGAAAAUCAGAAAAACAACUGUAGUUUUCACUUUACUAAGUAUAUAGUUUGUGAAC
rnacentral:lncRNA from 1 species